UUACCGGGACCGACAGCAAUAUGAAGGCCAGGCUGAAGACUUUGCCGGAUUAGCUGAGAGGUGGUGCAUGGCCGUCGUCAGUUCGUACUGUGAAGCAUCCUGUUAAGUCAGGCAACGAGCGAGACCCACGCCCACAGUUGCCAGCGUACUCUCUGGAGUGACGGGUACACUGUGGGGACCGCCGCUGCUAAAGCGGAGGAAGGAAUGGGCAACGGUAGGUCAGUAUGCCCCGAAUAUCCCGGGCUACACGCGAGCUACAAUGGUUGGUACAAUGGGUACCUACCCCGAAAGGGGACGGGAAUCUCCUAAAACCAAUCUUAGUUCGGAUUGAGGGCUGCAACUCGCCCUCAUGAAGCUGGAAUCCGUAGUAAUCGCGUUUCAACAGAACACGGUGAAUACGUCCCUGCUCCUU
rnacentral:rRNA from 1 species